rnacentral:rRNA from 1 species
GACGAACGCUGGCGGCGUGCCUAAUACAUGCAAGUAGAACGCUGAAGAGAGGAGCUUGCUCUUCUUGGAUGAGUUGCGAACGGGUGAGUAACGCGUAGGUAACCUGCCUUGUAGCGGGGGAUAACUAUUGGAAACGAUAGCUAAUACCGCAUAACAAUGGAUGACACAUGUCAUUUAUUUGAAAGGGGCAAUUGCUCCACUACAAGAUGGACCUGCGUUGUAUUAGCUAGUAGGUGAGGUAAUGGCUCACCUAGGCGACGAUACAUAGCCGACCUGAGAGGGUGAUCGGCCACACUGGGAAUGAGACACGGCCCAGACUCCUACGGGAGGCAGCAGUAGGGAAUCUUCGGCAAUGGGGGCAACCCUGACCGAGCAACGCCGCGUGAGGGAAGAAGGUUUUCGGAUCGUAAAGCUCUGUUGUAAGUCAAGAACGGGUGUGAGAGUGGAAAGUUCACACUGUGACGGUAGCUUAACAGAAAGGGACGGCUAACUACGUG